AACGCGAAGAACCUUACCUACUCUUGACAUCCAGAGAACUUAGCAGAGAUGCUUUGGUGCCUUCGGGAACUCUGAGACAGGUGCUGCAUGGCUGUCGUCAGCUCGUGUUGUGAAAUGUUGGGUUAAGUCCCGCAACGAGCGCAACCCUUAUCCUUUGUUGCCAGCGAUUCGGUCGGGAACUCAAAGGAGACUGCCAGUGAUAAACUGGAGGAAGGUGGGGAUGACGUCAAGUCAUCAUGGCCCUUACGAGUAGGGCUACACACGUGCUACAAUGGCAUAUACAAAGAGAAGCGACCUCGCGAGAGCAAGCGGACCUCAUAAAGUGCGUCGUAGUCCGGAUUGGAGUCUGCAACUCGACUCCAUGAAGUCGGAAUCGCUAGUAAUCGUAGAUCAGAAUGCUACGGUGAAUACGUUCCCGGGUCUUGUACACACCG
rnacentral:rRNA from 1 species